UACGGAGGGGGCUAGCGUUGUUCGGAAUUACUGGGCGUAAAGCGCGCGUAGGCGGCUUUGUAAGUUAGAGGUGAAAGCCCGGAGCUCAACUCCGGAAUUGCCUUUAAGACUGCAUCGCUAGAAUCAUGGAGGGGUGAGUGGAAUUCCGAGUGUAGAGGUGAAAUUCGUAGAUAUUCGGAAGAACACCAGUGGCGAAGGCGACUCACUGGACAUGUAUUGACGCUGAGGUGCGAAAGCGUGGGGAGCAAACAGG
rnacentral:rRNA from 1 species